UGGGGAAUUUUGCGCAAUGGGCGAAAGCCUGACACAGCAACGCCGCGUGGGUGAUGAAGGUCUUCGGAUCGUAAAACCCUGUCGUCGGGGACGAAGGUCGGGAGGUGAACAGCCUUUCGAUUUGACGGUACCCGGAGAGGAAGCCCCGGCUAACUCUGUGCCAGCAGCCGCGGUAAUACAGAGGGGGCAAGCGUUAUUCGGAAUUAUUGGGCGUAAAGGGCGCGUAGGCGGUGUUUUAAGUGGGAUGUGCAAUCCCCGGGCUUAACCUGGGAACUGCAUCCCAGACUGGAACGCUGGAGUAGUGGAGAGGGUGGUGGAAUUCAACGUGGAGCGGUGAAAUGCGUAGAGAUGUGGAGGAACACCAGUGGCGAAGGCGGCCACCUGGACAGUAAGUGACGCUGAGGCGCGAAAGUGUGGGUAGCAAACA
rnacentral:rRNA from 1 species